rnacentral:rRNA from 1 species
UACGAAGGGGGCUAGCGUUGUUCGGAUUUACUGGGCGUAAAGCGCACGUAGGCGGAUCGUUAAGUCGGGGGUGAAAUCCUGGAGCUCAACUCCAGAACUGCCUUCGAUACUGGCGAUCUUGAGUCCGGAAGAGGUGAGUGGAACUCCUAGUGUAGAGGUGGAAUUCGUAGAUAUUAGGAAGAACACCAGUGGCGAAGGCGGCUCACUGGUCCGGUACUGGACGCUGAGGUGCGAAAGCGUGGGGAGCAAACAGGG